rnacentral:rRNA from 1 species
GAUGAACGCUAGCGGGAGGCUUAACACAUGCAAGUCGAGGGGUAUAAUUAGCAAUAAUUAGAGACCGGCGCACGGGUGAGUAACGCGUAUGCAACCUGCCCUUUACAGGAGGAUAGCCCGUAGAAAUGCGGAUUAAUACCCCAUAGUUCUGUCAGAUCGCAUGGUUUGACAGAUAAAGUUUCGGCGGUAAAGGAUGGGCAUGCGUGACAUUAGCUAGUUGGUGAGGUAACGGCUCACCAAGGCUACGAUGUCUAGGGGUUCUGAGAGGAAGAUCCCCCACACUGGUACUGAGACACGGACCAGACUCCUACGGGAGGCAGCAGUGAGGAAUAUUGGUCAAUGGGCGAGAGCCUGAACCAGCCAUCCCGCGUGCAGGAAGAAUGCCCUAUGGGUUGUAAACUGCUUUUUCGCAUGAAGAACACCCCUGACGUGUCAGAGGCUGACGGUAAUGCGUGAAUAAGCACCGGCUAACUCCGUGCCAGC